rnacentral:lncRNA from 1 species
GGGGAUGAUAAUUGCGAAGGGGCCUAAAGUUGGAAGAUUGUUUCCUAUACAAUUUUCCAUUCCUCCUGUUAUAUCUUUUGCUUGUACUUCUACGGCUAAUAAGACUGAGCUUUGGCAUAAGCGUCUAGGACAUCCAAAUUCUGUUGUGUUGUCUCAUUUAUCAAAUUCUGGUUUAUUAGGAAGUAAAAAUCAAUUUUCC